UCAGUAGGCCUGGGGACAAAUCUAUAAGGUUUCUGGUGCACUUGUACAACAAAAGAAACAUGCUGAGUAUCCUAACAUGUUGUACUUCAUUCAGAAAGGUCUCAAUAAUCUAGGAAUAUGAUGUGUUUUGCACCCAGAAAUUUCCAUCACUUUCAGUCCCUUAUCUCAAAACUCAAAAGCCAGGUGACUGAAAAACUCUUGGAAAAAAAAUAUCAAAAUUCAGUGGUCUUCCAAUGACUGCAGCAGAAUUCAGCCAUCCACUGCAAUUCUCGUUGCUUUCAGAGAGGCCUUUGCUCCCUUCUCAGUGAUAAGCAACCUAAGCUGUGAUUGGACUACUGAACUGUUCUGUUUGUCUCAUGAUAUUUCAGGAAACAUACAACUAGACUUAAUUUUUCAGUGGAAGGAUGGGUGCUAAAAUUAAGGUAGCUGCUUCCCUCAGAAAUAUUUUUACCUG